UACAGAGGGUGCGAGCGUUGUUCGGAAUUAUUGGGCGUAAAGGGCGCGUAGGCGGUGCGGUAAGUCACCUGUGAAAUCUCCUGGCUCAACUGGGAGCUUGCAGGCGAAACUGCCGUGCUGGAGUGUGGGAGAGGUGCGUGGAAUUCCUGGUGUAGCGGUGAAAUGCGUAGAUACCAGGAGGAACACCUGUGGCGAAAGCGGCGCACUGGACCACAACUGACGCUGAGGCGCGAAAGCUAGGGGAGCAAACAGG
rnacentral:rRNA from 1 species